rnacentral:rRNA from 1 species
AUUGAACGCUGGCGGCAUGCCUUACACAUGCAAGUCGAACGGUAACAGGUCUUCGGAUGCUGACGAGUGGCGAACGGGUGAGUAAUACAUCGGAACGUGCCCGAUCGUGGGGGAUAACGCAGCGAAAGCUGUGCUAAUACCGCAUACGAUCUACGGAUGAAAGCGGGGGAUCGCAAGACCUCGCGCGGACGGAGCGGCCGAUGGCAGAUUAGGUAGUUGGUGGGAUAAAAGCUUACCAAGCCGACGAUCUGUAGCUGGUCUGAGAGGACGACCAGCCACACUGGGACUGAGACACGGCCCAGACUCCUACGGGAGGCAGCAGUGGGGAAUUUUGGACAAUGGGCGAAAGCCUGAUCCAGCCAUGCCGCGUGCAGGAAGAAGGCCUCGGUUGUAACUAGCUUAGUCUAGAAAAGGGUAGGCGAGGUAAGUACCUCCGUGCUUGUAUGGUACGUGGAAGAAUAAGACACCGGCGUAACUACGUGCCAGCAGCCG